rnacentral:hammerhead_ribozyme from 1 species
AUCUAGCUGACUAGUCCCAUAUAGGACGAAACGCAUGUUUCCUGAAU